rnacentral:rRNA from 1 species
CAGUCGCCGCGGGAAUACGUAGGUGGCAAGCGUUGUCCGGAAUUAUUGGGUGUAAAGGGUGUGCAGACGGCUUAUUAAGUCACUUGUUAAAUUCUUCGGCCUAACUGAAGGUCUGCAAGUGAUACUGAUGAGCUAGAGGGUGGAAGAGAGAAGUGGAAUUCUCGGAGUAGCGGUAAAAUGCGUAGAUCUCGAGAGGAACACCAAUGGCGAAGGCAGCUUCUUGGUCCAUUCCUGACGUUCAUACACGAAAGCGUGGGGAGCAAACAGGAUUAGAUACCCCAGUAGUCCCUGUCUCUUAUAC